AACGAACGCUGGCGGCAUGCCUAACACAUGCAAGUCGAACGAGACCUUCGGGUCUAGUGGCGUACGGGUGCGUAACGCGUGGGAACCUGCCCUUAGGCUCGGAAUAACUCCCCGAAAGGGGUGCUAAUACCGGAUAAUGUCUUCGGACCAAAGAUUUAUCGCCUUUGGAUGGGCCCGCGUUGGAUUAGCUAGUUGGUAGGGUAAAAGCCUACCAAGGCGACGAUCCAUAGCUGGUCUGAGAGGAUGAUCAGCCACACUGGGACUGAGACACGGCCCAGACUCCUACGGGAGGCAGCAGUGGGGAAUAUUGGACAAUGGGCGAAAGCCUGAUCCAGCAAUGCCGCGUGAGUGAUGAAGGCCUUAGGGUUGUAAAGCUCUUUUACCCGGGAUGAUAAUGACAGUACCGGGAGAAUAAGCUCCGGCUAACUCCGUG
rnacentral:rRNA from 1 species